GUAGGUGGCAAGCGUUGUCCGGGAAUUAUUGGGGCGUAAAGCGCGCGCAGGCGGUUCUUUAAGUCUGAUGUGAUAGCCCACGGGCUCAACCGUGGAGGGUCAUUGGAAACUGGAGAACUUGAGUACAGAAGAGGAAAGCGGAAUUCCACGUGUAGCGGUGAUAUGCGUAGAGAUGUGGAGGAACACCAGUGGCGAAGGCGGCUUUCUGGUCUGUAACUGACGCUGAGGCGCGAAAGCGUGGGGAGCAAACAGGAUUAGAUACCCUGGUAGUCCACGCCGUAAACGAUGAGUGCUAAGUGUUAGGGGGUUUCCGCCCCUUAGUGCUGCAGCUAACGCAUUAAGCACUCCGCCUGGGGAGUACGGCCGCAAAGGCUG
rnacentral:rRNA from 1 species